rnacentral:antisense_RNA from 1 species
CUUGAUCGACCCGAGCCACAGGGGUUCAGUCCGGUCCUGACCGUAGGUGGCCAGCAAGGCUUGCGCCUC